rnacentral:rRNA from 1 species
CAUCCUGCCCAGUGAAUUUAUUUCAACGGCCGCGGUAUCCUGACCGUGCAAAGGUAGCAUAAUCAUUUGCCUUUUAAUUGAAGGCUAGUAUGAAAGGACACACAAGAAUAAAACUGUCUCAUUUGGGCUAUCUUUAAACUGAUCUUUAGGUGAAGAAGCCUAAAUCCCCAUAAAGGACAAGAAGACCCUAUAGAGCUUUAUCAAUAAAAGUUAUCAUACUCAUUUAUUGAUUUGGUUGGGACAACCAAAAGACAAUAAUACCUCUUUUUUUCAAGAUACAACCCGCACCCAUAACUGAAAUAGAAUUUCAAGCUACCUUAGGGAUAACAGGCUAAUCCCACUAGAGAGACCACAUUGACAGUGGGGAUUGGCACCUCGAUGUUGGCUUAGUGUUACCAUUAGGCGCAGCCGCUUAAUCGA